AGUGAACGCUGGCGGCAGGCCUAACACAUGCAAGUCGAGCGGCAGCGCGGGGGCAACCCUGGCGGCGAGCGGCGGACGGGUGAGGAAUUCGUCGGAAUCUGCCUUUUUGUGGGGGGUAACGUAGGGAAACUUACGCUAAUACCGCAUACGUCCUACGGGAGAAAGUGGGGGACCGCAAGGCCUCACGCAGAAAGAUGAGCCGACGACCGAUUAGCUAGUUGGUGGGGUAAAGGCCCACCAAGGCGACGAUCGGUAGCUGGUCUGAGAGGAUGAUCAGCCACACUGGGACUGAGACACGGCCCAGACUCCUACGGGAGGCAGCAGUGGGGAAUAUUGGACAAUGGGCGCAAGCCUGAUCCAGCCAUGCCGCGUGUGUGAAGAAGGCCUUCGGGUUGUAAAGCACUUUUGUCCGGAAAGAAAUCCCUGGAGCUAAUACCUUCGGGGGAUGACGGUACCGGAAGAAUAAGCACCGGCUAACUUCGUG
rnacentral:rRNA from 1 species